UAUUUAUAGUCUAGCCUGCUCACUGACAAAAAGUGUUAAAUAGCCGCGGUAUUUUGACCGUGCAAAGGUAGCAUAAUCAUUAGUUUUUUAAUUGGAAACUUGUAUGAAUGGUUGGACAAAGAAAAGACUGUCUCUUUUAUUAAAAUUGAAAUUAACUUCUAAGUGAAAAGGCUUAGAUUUUCUAGAGGGACGAUAAGACCCUAUAAAGCUUCAUAAGUUAAAUAAAUUAGAUGGAUUUUUAGAAUAAAAGUAAAUUUAGUAAGCUUAUUUAGUUGGGGCGACAAGGGUAUAAAAUUAAAUAACUGCUAUUAAGGUUAGACAAUUAUAUUUGGUUGGAUUGUAAUUGAUCCUCGCUAUGGAUUAAAAGAUUAAGUUACUUUAGGGAUAACAGCGUAAUUUCUUUUAAGAGUUCUUAUCAAAGGAGAAGUUUGCGACCUCGAUGUUGAAUUAAAAUGUCUUUAUAGUGCAGAAGCUAUAAAAGAAGGUCUGUUCGACCUUUAAUUUUUUACAUGAUUUGAGU
rnacentral:rRNA from 1 species